UACGUAGGGGGCUAGCGUUGUCCGGAAUCAUUGGGCGUAAAGAGCGUGUAGGCGGCCCGGUAAGUCCGCUGUGAAAGUCGGGGGGCUCAACCCUCGGAUGCCGGUGGAUACUGUCGGGCUCGAGUACGGAAGAGGCGAGUGGAAUUCCUGGUGUAGCGGUGAAAUGCGCAGAUAUCAGGAGGAACACCUAUUGCGAAGGCAGCUCGCUGGGACGUUACUGACGCUGGAGACGCGAAAGCGUGGGGAGCAAACAGG
rnacentral:rRNA from 1 species